CAUGUGUCCUCUGAAUGGAAGCUUCAGGGGACCAGGUCUAUGUUUAGCCUCAGACAGUCUCCAAAUGCUUCAGGGCAAGUGUGAUUGCUUUCCCUCUGCCUCCUCCUCAGUAAUGUGAAAGUCUUCUAUUUACUGCCCCUAAGUGUCCCCCACAUUUAUUUUCUGGUUGUCAAAGGAUUUAGCUUUCCCUCUCUGAACCACACCCACCCACAGAGAGGCACCCCAGGGUCCAAGCAAAGGAUUUCGAACCAGACCCCUUAAUUCUGACAUAUGUUAUUGAACUCUAUUUCAGAGGGCUUUUGCCUUUACACCGCAGCUUCCCUGUGCUGUUUUAUCUCUGCAGAUGGCAAACAGACCAGUCUCUCUCCAUCUGGAGCUGGUACUGCAGAUACUUCGGGCUCGAAAAUUCAAUGAAGGGGAAAAGGAAAGGGAAUUCAGUUUCUGUGGGUCAUUGUCUUUCUUGCUCUUCUCCUUUGUUUUUCUUCCUCCUUUAUUCCUUUUCCUCUCUGAUUUGGUCCGGUGCAUUUUCCAGCUCCAUGGCUUUGAAAUCUGUGUUAUCCCUGAACUGCAGCUUUCUGACCAAGCUCUGAGUAGCCACUUGUUCAAGGAGAAUGGAGAAAGGAGUGACCUGAACCCAAACUACAGCCUGAUGCAAGCCCAGCUGAACCUUAAUGAGAUCAGCAGAAUCCCAGCCAUCCCACAGGCACUGGCUCAGAUCAACUACAGUUACCAUUAACCCACAGCUGAAUGAAAGACUUUGCAUAAGAACUACCCAAGGAAUCCCAGACAACCCGCAUAAAUGUGAGACAUAAUAAUAAAUUGAUAUUUGAACUAGGUCUUGGGGUGAUUUGUCAGUAGGCAACCAGUGGCUCCAUUUUUUUUUUUUUUUGCCUGAGAUU
rnacentral:lncRNA from 9 species